rnacentral:rRNA from 1 species
AUUGAACGCUGGCGGCAGGCCUAACACAUGCAAGUCGAGCGAGCGGCGGACGGGUGAGUAAUGUAUGGGGACUGCCCGAUAGAGGGGGAUAACUACUGGAAACGGUAGCUAAUACCGCAUACUAUCGGAUAACCCAUAUGGGAUGAGCUAGUAGGUGAGGUAAUGGCUCACCUAGGCGACGAUCCCUAGCUGGUCUGAGAGGAUGAUCAGCCACACUGGGACUGAGAACGGGCCCCGACUCCUACGGAGGCAGCGUUGGGGAAUAUUGCACAAUGGGCGCAAGCCUGAUGCAGCAAUGCCGCGUGUAUGAGGAAGGCCCUAGGGUUGUAAAGUACUUUCAGUCGGGAGGCGUUACCGACAGAAGAAGCACCGGCUAACUCCGUGCCAGCCGCCGCGGUAAUAC